AUCUAUAUAGUUUAAUUAAAAACAAUAAACUUUCUAUUUAUAAAUUUCUACAAGCCUAGUAUAUAGAUU
rnacentral:tRNA from 1 species